GACGAAGUCCCCAACAUAGACCUUGCAAUCGGUGUUAGGCGAAGAGCUGUGAGAAGACGAGUGAUAUGACAUCUUCCCACCUGAGGAAAUAGGGAGAAACUGUCAACAUCCUAAAUGAACCAGUUAAUUAGCUAAAGGUUUUAACCUGACUGCAGUUUGGCGUCGUAACCAACUUUAGUGUGUAAACGCUCACCUUCGAUGGCCACUGACACGCUGGAGAAGUGUUCAUGGGACUAACCCCGAUUACAACUUUACUGGGCAGAUGGCAGACAGCAUGUAUGGCAUUGUGUGGGCGAGCGGUUUGCUGAUGUCAACGUUGUCAACAGAUUAUGGUAUAGGCAGGCAUAAACUACAGACAACAAACACAAUUGCAUUUUAUCGAUGGCAAUUUGAAUGCACAGAGAUACUGUGAUGAGAUCCUGAGGCCCAUUGUCGUGCCAUUCAUUCACCGCCAUAGCCUCAGGUUUCAGCAUGAUAAUUCACGGCCAAAUGUCGUAAGGAUCUGUACACAAUUCCUGGAAGCAUACUCAUCAGACAUGUCACCCAUUGAGCAUGUUUGGGAUGCUCUGGAUCAAUGUGUAUGACGGUGUGUUCCAGUUCCCUUCAAUACCCACCAAUACCCAGCACAGCCAUUGAAGAGGAGUGGGACAACAUUCCACAAGCCACAAUCAACAGCCUGAUGAACUCUAUGCAAAGGAGAUGUGUCCUGCAGCAUGAGGUGAAUGGUGGUCAAACCAGAUACGGACAGGUUUUCUGAUCCAUACCCCUUUUUUUUGUUUUUUUAAGGUAUCUGUGACCAGAUGCAUAUCUGUAUUCCCAGUCAUGUGAAAUCUAUAGAUUAGGGCUUGAUGAAUGGAUUUCAAUUGACUGAUUUCCUUAUAUGAACUGUAACUCAGUAAAAUCGUUGAAAUUGUUGCAUGUUGCAUUUAUAUUUUUGUUCAGUAUAUAAUGAGAGAAAGUCUUGAACAUGCAGUGUACUCAAUGACUUGUAAUGUAAGUUGUUAUCAAUGUCGUCUGUGACUUGUUUUCAACUUGUCAUGCAUAAAAUGAUUACACAGACACAGUAAGCGUUGAAAAUAAAUAAACUAUAUUCAAUAAGGUUAACU